GAAGGAUGACUUAGCUAAAAUAGCUCGAGUAAAGGUAGUCAAGAGUAGGGAGAUGAAAAUCGAAUAAUUUACAGCUAAGUAGAGAAAUGGUUCAAAAAUUAAACACUCACACAUUCAAGGAACAUCACGAUGUAUAGUGGUUCGGUCAAAUGACCUACAUCUAUUUUCGAAGCCUUCUUCGAUGAGGCUUCUAACUUCCACUAG
rnacentral:lncRNA from 1 species